CGAAAAUCUUCAAAACCUUGUGCUUUUUAUACAAUAUGUAUGUUCAAUUGCAAUACUUGCUGUGGGUUUAUACAGAAAUACUAAAGACUUCAAAGUGGAUCUCGCCCUAUUGAAAUCAUGCGGUUUUUUUAUAAUAGUCUUAUUCCAACCAUUUCUGUAUUGUUACUUUGGAGAUAUGGUUACUAGAGAGGUUGAGAAUGUAAAAAUGGCUUUAUACGAAAGUGAUUGGAUCGGUAGUCGAUUAAGAUAUCAGCGGCUUAUGCUCCUAACCUUAACACGAUUGAACCGGCCCUUACUCUUCACCUGCGGAAAACUAAUGCCACUGAGCAAAUCUACCUUUAUUUCAAUCGUUAAGACGGCGUAUUCUGCAUUCAACUUACUAAAGCGAUCAAAUCAUUAUUAAAAUUAUGGUUCAGUUUCAGGAACAUUUAAGCACAUGGAUAUAUAAGCUAUUUAUAUGUAUAUCUGUAUAGGAAAUACGUUGCUUCAAUGUUUUAUUAGCCCAUAUUAUGUAGAUACAGUUGAAAAUAAGUACUGUGUAUUUUAAAUCAAUUAUUGUUAAUUGUACAGUACCUCUGCAAAUAAAUGCUGAUUUGGACCUAUAUAAAAUUAUGUUCAUAAAUAGUUGAGGAUGUGGGAUGUUCUGGUGUCAGGAAAAUACGAAGUUAGGAAAAAGUUGAGGUGAGUGCUAUGAUGUGAAUAAUAAUAAAAAUGGAUUUUUGUUUGGAAAUAUCAAUAUUUUUAUGCAAGUUCAGAAGAAAAGUUUGGCUAAUUAUUGUAGUUACGUGAAAAUUGUGUUAUUUAUACGUAAACCUCGAAUUUCUGGUAUUGGGUUUUAUAUCAGUAGGCAGAUAUAUUUAUUAUGAAAAUAAGGAAAUUAAACUUAUAUCAUUCGAAUUGUACUAUAGCGUACUUAUAAAAAUAAUAAUAAUACGUACUUACGAUUUGUUGCGAUUGUAACUUUUUUAUACUUGUGAUUGUAUCAAAAGGGGACGUUAGAUUCGUUCGCAAAUACUACCUUAAAUACUUCUCAUUUCACUAAUAUUUCUGUAAUUUUGAAUUUUUUUUUUUCUCGCUUGUAAGUUUCUUUUUUCGCUUUAGAAAGGAUUUACCUCAUUUUUUAUUGGUUAUCAACGAAGUGAAUAGCUACAGAUUGGCACUUAGCCUUUUUUUUUAAGAAAAGUCAAUAAUUUAUUAAUGUAAUAGCAUACCAAUUUGUACAAUUACCUCUCUACAUGUGUAAUAUAGUAAUCCACCACAACAAUCAUACGUAGCGUACAUGUAUCAUUAACCAAUCAAACUGAAUACAUUGUAAUUUUUUAAACGGUUAAACAUCCUGCAUUGCUCGGUAUAAAACAGACGAAAAUUUUUAGAUAACAUAACAGUAACUUAAGCAAUAAAUCACAAAAUGAAUUCGAAAGUUUUUUUUGAAAAACAAUACUAUCUAAGUUAUUUAAAUUAUGUGGCAUCAGGUUUUAUUUCAUACGAGUCGAAAAGUCGCGUAUUAAAUAAUUUAUUGACAAUAUACCGUUAUUGGGCAGCCCUUAUGGUUGUUGCAUUAGUACCGAUUGAUACUUUGUCGUUUUUUCUGGCUGAUCCCAAAACGGUGUCUUAUCCUCAACUGGCAAUCGGAUUUUUAUUCCAUAUUCCGACAGUAUUUAAAGCAACGUAUUUUAAAUGUAUGAAGACAAAAUAUGAAGCAUUGAUGUGCUACCUUCAAUAUGAAACACUCGUCACUGAAAAUAAAGAACUUUUGGAAAUUUUUGAGAAAGAAAAAGAUGCCAGCCGGAGAUUCAAUAAAAUAUACGAAAUAAUUAUGUUAUUUGGUAUUUUCGGUUUCACAGUUCCACCAGUAGCAAUAGCUUUAUACAAUAUUUUUGGAAAUAGCAGUGGCACAUUGAUUACUAUAGAACUGUCGUUUCCUGUUUCAUUACCUUACAAUAUGGAUACACUGAAUGGGUAUACAUUAGGUGCCGUUCAUAUGUUUGUUGAAAUUCAUAUUAUCGGGUUCGCAUUUAUUGGAAUGGAUGUUUUGAUAGCUGGAUUGAUGAGAACCAUCAUUGCUCAUUUGAAAUGUCUUGCAAGACAAUUUUUAACCAUUCGAGCCAAAGACGACGUAAAAGGUCAAUUAAAGGAGGAUGAGUUUAUAAAGGCUAUACAAUAUUUACAACGAAUAUACAAGUAUAUAAUUCAUUCAUUUUCAUCUCAGCAGAUUACAAAUUAGCAUACUAAUACCAAUAAU